ensembl:snRNA U1 U1 spliceosomal RNA
AUACUUACCUGGCAGGGGAGAUACCAUGAUCAGGAAAGUGGUUUUCCCAGGGUGAGGCUUAUCCAUUGCCCUCUGGAUGUGCUGACCCCUGCGAUUUCCCCAAACGUGGGAACUCGACUUCAGAAUUUGUGGUAGCGGAUGAGUGCAAUUGCACUUUCCCC